rnacentral:tRNA from 1 species
GAGAGUAUAGCUCAAGUGGUAGAGCGCAUGCUUAGCAUGUAUGAGGUCCUGGGUUCAAUCUCCAGUACCUCCU